rnacentral:rRNA from 1 species
UGGGGAAUUUUGGACAAUGGACGCAAGUCUGAUCCAGCCAUGCCGCGUGCGGGAAGAAGGCCUUCGGGUUGUAAACCGCUUUUGUCAGGGAAGAAACGAGUUUCUCUAAUACAGAGACUUAAUGUCGGUACCUUAAUAAUAAGCACCGGCUAACUACGUGCCGGCAGCCGCGGUAAUACGUAGGGUGCAAGCGUUAAUCGGAAUUACUGGGCGUAAAGCGUGCGCAGGCGGUUAUGCAAGACAGAGGUGAAAUCCCCGGGCUCAACCUGGGAACUGCCUUUGUAGCUGCAUAGCUAGAGUAUGGUAGAAGAGAAUGGAAAUCAGCGUGUAGCAGUGAAAUGCGUAGAUAUGAGAAGGAACACCAAUGGCAAAGGCAAUCCCAUGGACCUAUAAUGACGCUCAUGAACGAAAGCGUGGAGGGCAAACA